GACGAACGCUGGCGGCGUGCCUAAUACAUGCAAGUCGAACGAACCGCGACUGAGUGCUUGCACUUGGUCAAGGUGAGUGGCGAACGGGUGAGUAACACGUGGGUAACCUACCUCAUAGUGGGGGAUAACAGUCGGAAACGACUGCUAAUACCGCAUAGGACAUGGAAUCACAUGAUUCUGUGAGGAAAGGUGGCGCAAGCUAUCGCUAAGAGAUGGACCCGCGGUGCAUUAGCUAGUUGGUAGGGUAAGGGCCUACCAAGGCGAUGAUGCAUAGCCGACCUGAGAGGGUGAUCGGCCACAUUGGGACUGAGACACGGCCCAAACUCCUACGGGAGGCAGCAGUAGGGAAUCUUCCGCAAUGGACGCAAGUCUGACGGAGCAACGCCGCGUGAGUGAAGAAGGUCUUCGGAUCGUAAAGCUCUGUUGUUAGAGAAGAACAGCGCAUAGAGUAACUGUUAUGCGUGUGACGGUAUCUAACCAGAAAGCCACGGCUAACUACGUG
rnacentral:rRNA from 1 species